rnacentral:rRNA from 1 species
UAGGUUUUGGUAAAUUAGUAUUAGUAAGGAAAUUUAAGGUUUUUGGCGGCUAUUUAAAGUUGGGGAGGCUUGUUUAGUAAUGGAGAAGGCACAUUAUAUCUGGCUUGAUUAGGGUUUAUUUAUUUUCGUUAUUAGGUUAUUUGUAUAUUUUAGGUAAAUGUAUUUCAGAUCAGAAUGUAGUAUGGUCAAGUUUGGAUUAGCCAGAUUAAUUACUUUAAUAAGAAUAAAAGGGGAAUUUAAUUCGAAAGUAAUUUAGUUUAAGAUAAUUAAGUGAAGAUUUUUUUA